rnacentral:rRNA from 1 species
AUACGGAGGGUGCAAGCGUUAUUCGGAAUCACUGGGCGUAAAGGACGCGUAGGCGGGUUUGUAAGUCAGGUGUGAAAUCCUACAGCUCAACUGUAGAACUGCACUUGAAACUACAGACCUAGAGUAUGGAAGGGGCAGAUGGAAUUAGUGGUGUAGGGGUAAAAUCCGUAGAUAUCACUAGGAAUACCGAAAGCGAAGGCGAUCUGCUGGGACAUUUCUGACGCUGAGGCGUGAAAGCGUGGGGAGCAAACAGGAUUAGAAACCCCAGUAGUCC